GCUGACAGACUUCAGGGUGUAUGGGAGGAAGGUGGGAGGGCUGCAAACGUGCACGAUGCAUGACACCUUUGCACAAUGCAUUGGUGUGAGGAGAGGCAUGAGCCCAGGUGCAACCAUUGCUCCAUCAGGGUGCAGUGAAAGUACAGGGGCCGUGCUGAGGAGAGAUGCUGAGGGGCUGCUGCCGCUGGGUGAGUGCUCCUGUACCAGGCUGGGGCAGGCAGCAUAACUUGGAGAUAUGGAGUGUUUAAGCCCUGCACCGGCUCCUCUGACUCACCUGCACUGAGGAAAACCAGCCUGGUCAGAGCAAACUUACUCAGGAGCUCAGCAUAAGAACAUGCUUGAGGGUGUUGUGUGCAGCAGGAAGGGCCAGGGAGCUGGGCAGCACCUCGAUGGGCAAUGGUAGGGAGAAAAGCAGCAAAGGAGUCCUCUCAAAGGGAGGCCUGAAGCAGGCUGGGUUGGGGUGAGGAAGGUGUUGGGAGGUCUGGGUUUCACACCUGAACGUGGGGCACAGAAGCCCUUCAGCAGGGGGGUUGGUUGUCAGCUGCUGAAGCACAGCCCUGGCUGGGCCGAAAGGCAGCAGCUGGUGAACUGCGCCAUAAACCCCUGCUUGUGACGGGCAGCAGAGGAGGCUGAAUUAAAUUACAAACAGGUUGUGAUUUAGGCAGACAGCAGAGAUGUCCUCCACCUCAAACAUGAAAUGUUCUGCUUCUGGAAAGUGAAGUCCUGAGGUUAGCAUUAUAUGCUCCUGGAGAAGUCCACCGGUGCUUUCUGGAAAGCUUUCUCCCUUCUGUAUGAUCUGCUGAGGCUGCUUCUGAUAAAG